AAGGAUCAUUACCGAGGUGUAUUCGCCCUUCACGGGUGCCCUCUCACACAAUGCGUACCCCACAGUAGCAUGCUUCGGCGGGUUGCCUCUAUCGAGGCCGUCAACCUUUGCGGGUUGUCGCCCACCCGCCGAAGUGCGAACUCUUUCGUCUCCACCCGGAUCUCAGCGUCUGAGUAUUGAUUAUAAAAUCGAAACAAAAACUUUCAACAACGGAUCUCUUGGUUCUG
rnacentral:misc_RNA from 1 species